GUAGGUGAACCUGCGGAAGGAUCAUUAACCAAAAGGAUACCUUUAUGGUAUACCCCAUCCGUGUCUACAUACUCUUGUUGCUUUGGCAGGCCGUGGUCUUGACCCUGUGGGCUCUGCCUGCAUGCGCCUGCCAGAGGACCAAACUCUGAAUUUUAGUGAUGUCUGAGUACUAUAUAAUAGUUAAAACUUUCAACAACGGAUCUCUUGGUUCUGGCAUCGAUGAAGAACGCAGCGUCUGACUGACUACGUG
rnacentral:misc_RNA from 1 species